GUGCCAGCCGCCGCGGUAAGACGAACCGUCCAAACGUUAUUCGGAAUUACUGGGCUUAAAGGGUGCGUAGGCGGCGCGGUAAGUUGGGUGUGAAAUCCCUCGGCUCAACCGAGGAAUUGCGCUCGAUACUGCCGUGCUCGAGGGAGACAGAGGUGAGCGGAACUUAGGGUGGAGCGGUGAAAUGCGUUGAUAUCCUAAGGAACACCAGUGGCGAAAGCGGCUCACUGGGUCUCUUCUGACGCUGAGGCACGAAAGCUAGGGGAGCGAACGGGAUUAGAUACCCCCGUAGUCC
rnacentral:rRNA from 1 species